rnacentral:tRNA from 3 species
GCCCUCGUCGUUCAACGGAUAGGACGCGACGCUUCGGACGUCGUAAUGUGGGUUCGACUCCUGCCGAGGGCACCA